rnacentral:lncRNA from 1 species
AAGAAUUGAGAACUAGGUGCUGGAGUUGAAUUCCAACGAUCACUGCACCACAUUCUCUGCUUUUUCAAAAUCAUAGACAUUUGAAAACUUAGUUUCUGGUUAAAUAUGGAGUUACUAGAAGAUAAUAGCAAAGAUAUCACACAUAUUGUUCAUAGACAUCUGCUGGUUUAGCUGCAUGGUCAUAUUUCUGUAUAAUCUUCUUGUCUCUCUACUCAAUUUCCUUGGUGAUGCAGCCCAUUCGAAGCUCCAGGUUUUGUACUCUCCUCGAGAUUAUCGAAGUGAAGGAGCUUCAGCUUCUGAGUGGAAGGAAGUAACUGUAAGAUCAAGUACUGAGGUCAUAUACCAGCCUCAAAAUUCUACCAAAGUCCGCAAGUUCAAGCUUUCUUCUAUCACAUCUAUGUCUCUAAGUGCCUAAGGAUGUAUCUGUCAU